UACGUAGGUGGCAAGCGUUGUCCGGAUUUACUGGGCGUAAAGAGCGCGCAGGCGGUCGUGCAAGUCGCGUGUGAAAGCCCCCGGCUCAACUGGGGAGGGUCACGCGAUACUGUUCGACUCGAAGGCAGGAGAGGGAAGCAGAAUUCCCGGUGUAGUGGUGAAAUGCGUAGAUAUCGGGAGGAACACCAGUGGCGAAGGCGACUUCCUGGCCUGUUCUUGACGCUGAGGCGCGAAAGCUAGGGUAGCAAACGGG
rnacentral:rRNA from 1 species